rnacentral:rRNA from 1 species
GACGAACGCUGGCGGCGUGCCUAAUACAUGCAAGUUGAGCGCUGAAGGUUGGUACUUGUACCAACUGGAUGAGCAGCGAACGGGUAGUAACGCGUGGGGAAUCUGCCUUUGAGCGGGGGACAACAUUUGGAAACGAAUGCUAAUACCGCAUAAAAACUUUAAACACAAGUUUUAAGUUUGAAAGAUGCAAUUGCAUCACUCAAAGAUGAUCCCGCGUUGUAUUAGUUAGUUGGUGAGGUAAAGGCUCACCAAGGCGAUGAUACAUAGCCGACCUGAGAGGGUGAUCGGCCACAUUGGGACUGAGACACGGCCCAAACUCCUACGGGAGGCAGCAGUAGGGAAUCUUCGGCAAUGGACGAAAGUCUGACCGAGCAACGCCGCGUGAGUGAAGAAGGUUUUCGGAUCGUAAAACUCUGUUGGUAGAGAAGAACGUUGGUGAGAGUGGAAAGCUCA